rfam:Triticum aestivum genome assembly, contig: Triticum_aestivum_CS42_TGACv1_scaffold_641545_T_2BL-0.295448_1DL-0.164802
GGUUCCAUGGUCUAGUAGUUAGGACAUUGAACUCUGAAUCCAGUAACCUGAGUUCAAGCCUCCGUGGGACCU